rnacentral:rRNA from 1 species
GCCCGGUGGAUAAGCCGGGAGGAAGGUGGGGAUGACGUCAAGUCCUCAUGGCCUUACAGGCUGGGCUACACACGUGCUACAAUGGCAUCUACAGUGGGCAGCUAUUCCGCAAGGAUGCGCUAAUCUCCAAAAGAUGUCUCAGUUCGGAUUGUCCUCUGCAACUCGAGGGCAUGAAGGCGGAAUCGCUAGUAAUCGCGGAUCAGCAUGCCGCGGUGAAUACGUUCCCAGGCCUU